GGCUUUAUAUUCAAUAAUGAUAUUAGACUGCAAUUCUAAAGGAGUAAAUAAUUUUUACUAAGGCUU
rnacentral:tRNA from 2 species